GUCCACGCCCUAAACUAUGUCAACUAGUUGUCGGGUCUUAUUAGACUUGGUAACGUAGCUAACGCGUGAAGUUGACCGCCUGGGGAGUACGGUCGCAAGAUUAAAACUCAAAGGAAUUGACGGGGACCCGCACAAGCGGUGGAUUAUGUGGAUUAAUUCGAUGCAACGCGAAAACCUUACCUACCCUUGACAUGUCAGAAAGUUUUCAGAGAUGAAAUCGUGCUCGAAAGAGAAUCUGAACACAGGUGCUGCAUGGCUGUCGU
rnacentral:rRNA from 1 species